rnacentral:rRNA from 1 species
UGGGGAAUAUUGCACAAUGGGCGAAAGCCUGAUGCAGCGACGCCGCGUGCGGGAUGAAGGCCUUCGGGUUGUAAACCGCUUUUAAUUGGGAGCAAGCGAGAGUGAGUGUACCUUUUGAAUAAGCACCGGCUAACUACGUGCCAGCAGCUGCGGUAAUACGUAGGGUGCAAGCGUUAUCCGGAAUUAUUGGGCGUAAAUAGCUCGUAGGCGGUUUGUCACGCCUGGUGUGAAAGUCCAUCGCUUAACGGUGGAUCUGCGCCGGGUACGGGCAGGCUAGAGUGCAGUAGGGGAGAUUGGAAUUCCCGGUGUAACGGUGGAAUGUGUAGAUAUCGGGAAGAACACCAAUGGCGAAGGCAGAUCUCUGGGCUGUUACUGACGCUGAGGAGCGAAAAGCAUGGGGAGCGAACAGGAUUAGAUACCCUGGUAGUCCAUGCCGUAAAACGGUGGAUGCUGGAUGUGGGACCCUUCCACGGGUUCCGUGUCGGAGCUAACGCGUUAAGCAUCCCGCCUGGGGAGUACGGCCGCAAGGCU